rnacentral:rRNA from 1 species
UACGUAGGGGGCGAGCGUUGUCCGGAUUUAUUGGGCGUAAAGAGCGUGUAGGCGGCCAGGUAGGUCUGCUGUGAAAACUCGAGGCUCAACCUCGAGACGUCGGCGGAAACCAUCUGGCUAGAGUCCGGAAGAGGAGAGUGGAAUUCCUGGUGUAGCGGUGAAAUGCGCAGAUAUCGGGAAGAACACCCGUGGCGAAGGCGGGUCUCUGGGCCGAUACUGACGCUGAGGAGCGAAAGCGUGGGGAGCGAACAGG